UGACUAUCAGCACAGAGCCGACGAUGAAAUCAGUGGUAGUGGGUUGAUAUCUUCGAUAUUUGAUCAAGGAGGAUGUUCAGGCUCGAAAUUUGAUGAAAUCGCUCGCUCCGUUAUCAGGAUGCUCAGGCAAUAUGCCAUCUGGAGUCUAUCUCGAUAUCUCAAUCGAAUCGAAAGAUACUUUCAAAAUUGAGAUCCGACAAUAGUAGCU
rnacentral:lncRNA from 1 species